GUCACUUCAUCCCACUGGUGUGGUAUUUUUGCUGAAUAACCCUCAUGAAACUGCACCUUGGGCGCCUAUAAUUUGUUUUAAAUGAAUGCUGUUGACAGAAAGUUCUGUGGUUUUUGGCCAUUUGGUUUUCGGGCACAAUGAGGCACAUGGCAGGGUGAAUAAUCAUGAUGAAUCCCGGGCUGACGUUAAGGUCUGCCACUCUGAAUAAGACGAGGUUGUGUAGAUCCCACAGGACUCAUGGAGCUGUCAUCUCCAUCAUCUAUCAGACACUUUCUACUUUCACAGAGUUUGAAGUCUCUCAGCUCUGCUGCUUCGAAUAUAUCUCACAAGAGAAUAUCAGGCACCAAACUCGCUCACAAGGAGUCAGAGGAGCAGACCUCUGUCAAAGACACAGACGUAACAGGGUUUGUACUGUAGAUGCAGGUGGGAGGACCUGUUGUUGACUGGCUAAAGAUGGGGAGCCUGGGACAGGAGCAGGGGGAGCCUGGGACAGGAGCAGGGGGAGCCUGGGACAGGAGAUGGGGAGCCUGGGACAGGAGCAGGUUGAGCCUGGGACAGGAGAGGAAGAACCUGGGACAUGAGAGGAGCAUCUGAGGACACUGGGUGAGGAACUUUAGAUUGGAACAUAUUAGUUAACUGCAAGACGGACUAGGAGGCCUGUCGACCCAUUAGCGAGAGAGAGAGAGAGAGAAAUAGAGAGAGUAAUAGAGAGAGAGAGAUUUGAAAAGAGCAAGGAAUCCAACUGUGACAUUAACCAUGCAAGAUACCAACAGCCCUGUAAAUACUAGGUAUUCAAAAUAUGGACAGAUUUUCUCUCAAAAUAUGGACAGAUUUUCUCUCAAAAUAUGGACAGAUUUUCUCUCAAAAUAUGGACAGAGUUUCUCUCAAAAUAUGGACAGAUUUUGUCUCAAUCUCCCAUUCCGUUGUGAAUCCCAGUGUUACCUAAACAGAACACUGCAUCAUUACUUCAUACAGAAUUAUACUCCAAACAGCAUCCCUUCCAUGACACCACCCCCGUCUUUUCCACUAAACCUCUAAAUCCUUAAAAAAAACAAAGCUCUUAGCAGCACACGCCUUACCUGAGCCUGUCUCAAACAUCACAUUCCUAGAGUGAAUCUCAGCUUUGCACCUGCCACAAGACACCCUAAUUUAUGGUAGAGUCUCCAUCCAAACUUUAAAGCAAUUUGGUCUUCAAGGAUGUGUAAAAUAUUCAUGGACGGGUCUAUUGCAUAUUUCACGCAGGCCGUGGUGGUAAAGUAGGACACACCUACAGCGAGCGUGGGGAUGGGGAUGUGGUGUCUCUCUCUCUCUCUGCCCGUCCAUGCCCACUUCAUCAGCUUCAUGCAGAGGUAAUAGGUACAUGCUAGAGGUGACAACACAGGGCACUUAAGGAGGUUGAACACGACUUUGACACUCUCUCACAUGUCAGAGCUUCUCAGAGCAGGAGGAACAUGGUGAGAUGAAUGCGUGGCGGGGACUCAUACAACCCCGGAAUCAGG
rnacentral:lncRNA from 1 species